CUUUCCCUCUGUCGGCAUGCCUUACACAUGCAAGUCGAACGGCAGCAUGAUCUAGCUUGCUAGAUUGAUGGCGAGUGGCGAACGGGUGAGUAAUACAUCGGAACGUGCCCUGUAGUGGGGGAUAACUAGUCGAAAGAUUAGCUAAUACCGCAUACGACCUGAGGGUGAAAGUGGGGGACCGCAAGGCCUCAUGCUAUAGGAGCGGCCGAUGUCUGAUUAGCUAGUUGGUGAGGUAAAGGCUCACCAAGGCGACGAUCAGUAGCUGGUCUGAGAGGACGAUCAGCCACACUGGGACUGAGACACGGCCCAGACUCCUACGGGAGGCAGCAGUGGGGAAUUUUGGACAAUGGGCGAAAGCCUGAUCCAGCAAUGCCGCGUGUGUGAAGAAGGCCUUCGGGUUGUAAAGCACUUUUGUCCGGAAAGAAAUGGCUCUGGUUAAUACCUGGGGUCGAUGACGUUACCGGAAGAAUAAGGACCGGCUAACUACGUG
rnacentral:rRNA from 1 species